CACAAACGCACUCAGGUGAAGCUAUUACCCUCUCUUACACACUCUGGUGAAGCGCUAACGCAUUCCGGUGAAAGUAUGACCGUCUCUAACGCACUCCGUUGAAGCUUAGACCCUCUCUGUGGCACUCCGGUGAAGCGCUGACGCACUCCGGUGAAUCUCAUAUGCCGUACAAAAGUAAACGGACUCGGAUGGAAACGGAAACAAAGCUCUGACUGGCCCGUAGAGUAAACUGCAGGAAACUAUGGACUUAUUUGCUGAGAAGUAGGAAUCACUUUACACAGCUUCAGGAGUUAGUCAUUGUAUGUGAUACAUGUUGGUGAAAUGUUUCAUGAGCCGGUGUACAUGUUAACCGGUGUACAUCUGGAUAUUUAUGAGCCGGUACAUGUUAACCGGUGUACACGUGGAUGCUAACAGAUGUAUUGGAAACAUAUAAAUAUUUGGCUAGCGUUUCAUCGGACAUCAAUUCAACCACUUAUUUGUGCCAAUCAGUCUUUCAAAAACUCAAUAGUAGUAUAUCAAAUAUCAUCCAAACUCAACUGGUGUUGAGGAGAACGCAGACGUUUACAUGAUUAACUUAUGUAUUCUUAAUUUCUCAAAAAUAUCCCGUAAAUAGUUUCCAAAAACCUAAUAAAGACGCAUUGUCUUUUGAGACAUCAUAUUUUUACAGUAACUAGAAACACAGUUGAUUGACAUAUACAAGCAGAUGAUCUGAUGCAAGGUAUUGAACUACACAAACACUUGAUAGUCGAGCAUUUAGACUCUAAACCUGCUUAAGGGUCGAAGCUUUGUUUGGUUCAACCAGCUGGGGCAAGAAAUUCAUCUCAAAUCUGGUUUUAUAUCAAGAAGUGAAGGAUAAAGAAACAAGAUGAAGAUCUUUAUAUAUUGUCCAUGUGGAUAUAGAAUUUGAUAUUGUACGUGUGUACAUUGACCUAUAGCGUGAACAUCCAUAAGUGUACAUGUGUACAUAGAACUACCCAGUGUACGCAAUGUAUUAUCCACAUGUACAUUGCUUUUCAUUUCAGAAGAAGGAUAAGAUUUUUAUGAUACUAAGAAGAAUUCAAAUGGCUCACCUCGUCAAAGCAAUCAUAUCAUUUUCCUAAGCAAAACGUAAGUCACAUGUUCUCCUUCUUCCUCUUCACCAAACCCUCACAUGACAUGACUCUCUGAUUCUCUCAGCAGCGAAUCUAAAGCGUCCUCCUUUCCGAAUUAAAUGCACAGUCCGCAAUUAAAUCUACCAUUUGCAAACUUAGCGUUAGUUAAUUUCAAAAUGAGUAUGUACAAUAAAGAUAAAGGAAACACCUUUUAGUACAGAAGAAGGAGACUCUUGAUUCAGUCACUGGAAGAAACUGUAGAUUUGAAAAGCAGAGGAGAAAAAUCUCGAAUUAAAUUCGAGAAUGAUAAUGGGUUUUAAGAAUCUAGCGAUUCGACGAGAUUCUUGGAAGAAUUGCAAGACUAGAUUACGGGUUCGACCCAGUCAAGAUGAGGAUUUUUUUUUAACUUUUUUCUGGUCACCGAUGUUGAGAGUAGAAUGAGUUGCAAGAAAAAAAGGCUGAAAAAGUAUUGAAAAGAAUUAAGGUAAGAGGAUUGAAGAAAUACACGUGACUGUCACAUGGAUUUUUAUCUUAACUAAAUGAAAUACUGCGAUGAGGGUAUGUUCGGUUUUUCAUCUCCUCAAACCAAGAGAAAACUACCUCAGUAGCCUAAAGUGUCUUACAAUGUAAUAAAAAACUGAAAAGUGUCCCAUAAUGUAAAUCUUUCUAGAUUUAUCCCUUAUUCUUUUUUGAAGGGAAGAGAAAAGGAAGCCAUAUUCGAAUUCAUACGGAUUACUAUUAUCAGACCCGAACAAGAAAUUGGUCCAGUCUAUACCAAGUUUCAAAACAAAGAUAAUCAAUUAUAUUAAGUGGGAGGUUAGGUUUGGAUCCUUCAAACACCACCACAAGUAUGUAGGUUAUUGGCAGCUCAUUCCACUUUGGCGAUAAUAUAGUAAAGCUAAGACAAAAAAGGUUUUUUUUUUUCUAAAUCUAAGCAAAAAACACAUGCAUAUUUAAACAAUUGAAUAUUAUGUAUAUUUUUCUGUAUUUUCUGACUCUUACAAUAAUUUAUAUGAUUUUUUAAAGUAUGCCAGGGGUAUCCUAGGUCUAAGAUGGACUAAAAAUAUAUUUAUGGUAAAGGGACAAUGUAGUUAAUUUUUUGUUCCAUUUUAGCAAAUUUUCUCUUAAAUAAAAGAGUUAGGCAUUAGAAAAAUUGCUUGAAAUCAGAUUAUGAAUGCAUAUAAUUAUCAAGGAAUCAAUGAAGCAUCAUUCUAAGACUCAAAACACAGUUACAUGAUCUUUACACUCCCAUAGCUCAAAACAUUAUGUCUAACAAACAACAUAGAGAACUAACUCCGGUUGAAUAUAAGAGAACAUGCAUUAAGUUCGAGUUUCGAUUGGCUCACAAAGAAAAAUAACAUCAAAUCACAUUGGCUUUGGAAACUUUUCUCACAUGGAUUAUUUUCAAGAAAUCAAAUCAACUACCGAAUAUUCAAUUAACCUAAGAUCAUGACGUAGGUGGUCAAUCAUGUUUAA